rnacentral:rRNA from 1 species
AUGAAACUCAAAGGAAUUGACGAGGACCCGCACAAGCGGUGGAGCAUGUGGUUUAAUUCGAAGCAACGCGAAGAACCUUACCUGGUCUUGACAUCCUGCUGACCGUCCCGUAACGGGGGCUUUCCUUCGGGACAGCAGAGACAGGUGGUGCAUGGUCGUCGUCAGCUCGUGUCGUGAGAUGUUGGGUUAAGUCCAGCAACGAGCGCAAUCCCUAUCUUUAGUAGCCAGCAUUCCGGAUGGGCACUCUAGAGAGACUGCCAGGGACAACCUGGAGGAAGGCGGGGAUGACGUCAAAUCAUCAUGCCCCUUAUGGCCAGGGCUACACACGUGCUACAAUGGCGUAAACAAAGGGAGGCAGAAUCGUGAGAUGGAGCAAAUCCCAAAAAUAACGUCCCAGUUCUGAUUGUAGUGUGCACCCCUGGUACAUGAAGAUGGAAUCGCUAGUAAUCGCGGAUCAGAAUGCCGCGGUGAAUACGUUCCCGGGUCUUGUACACCCCGCCCGUCACCCCAUGGGAACCGGAAAUGCCC